UUGGACAGGACUUUGAGCAACCUCGUCUAGUGGAAGGUGUCCCUGCUCAUGGCAGGGGGGUUGGAACUAGAUGGGGUCUAAGGUCCCUGCCAACUCAAAGCAUUCUGUGAGUCCUCCUGCA